rnacentral:rRNA from 1 species
GGACGUUGGUCUGGCUCUGCCGGAUCAGUGUCGAAGCUAACGCGUUAAGUGAUUCGCCUGGGAACUACGAUCGCAAGAUUAAAACUCAAAGGAAUUGACGGGGGUCCGCACAAGCGGUGGAACAUGUGGUUUAAUUCGACACUACGCGAGGAACCUUACCUAGGCUUGACAUGUUUUUGACAGGUGCAGAAACGCAUCCUUCCAGGCUUCGGUCUGGACAAAUUCACAGGUGCUGCAUGGCUGUCGUCAG